rnacentral:rRNA from 1 species
AGUGAACGCUGGCGGUAGGCCUAACACAUGCAAGUCGAACGGCAGCACAGUAAGAGCUUGCUCUUACGGGUGGCGAGUGGCGUACGGGUGAGGAAUACAUCGGAAUCUACUUUUUCGUGGGGGAUAACGUAGGGAAACUUACGCUAAUACCGCAUACGACCUACGGGUGAAAGCAGGGGAUCUUCGUACCUUGCGCGAUUGAAUGAGCCGAUGUCGGAUUAGCUAGUUGGCGGGGUAAAGGCCCACCAAGGCGACGAUCCGUAGCUGGUCUGAGAGGAUGAGCAGCCAAACUGGAACUGAGACACGGUCCAGACUCCUACGGGAGGCAGCAGUGGGGAAUAUUGGACAAUGGGCGCAAGCCUGAUCCAGCCAUACCGCGUGGGUGAAGAAGGCCUUCGGGUUGUAAAGCCCUUUUGUUGGGAAAGAAAAGCAGCAGGUUAAUACCCCGCUGUUCUGACGGUACCCAAAGAAUAAGCACCGGCUAACUUCGUG